rnacentral:tRNA from 1 species
AAAAUAUUUAAAAAAUUAAAUACGACGUUGUUUACAUGGUCUACAACCAUUAUGUGGACGUGGUGUUACAUCUAAUAUUGUU